AGGUCAUGACAGACAGUUCAACUCUCAUCCCACUCAUGGCACUUUUUGUUAUAAAUGUUGUCUCAAACAUAGUCCAGCAUCGACGAACCAUCAGUUUGGAAGGGUUACCGAUAUUUGUUCGCGACGACGAGACCAAACUCUUCUUAACAUGUCUGGAUACAGAUCCAGUUGAGAGGGCAACCCGAGG